UGAGGAAUAUUGGUCAAUGGGCGAGAGCCUGAACCAGCCAAGUAGCGUGCAGGAUGACGGCCCUAUGGGUUGUAAACUGCUUUUGUAUGGGGAUAAAGUCAGUCACGUGUGAUUGUUUGCAGGUACCAUACGAAUAAGGACCGGCUAAUUCCGUGCCAGCAGCCGCGGUAAUACGGAAGGUCCGGGCGUUAUCCGGAUUUAUUGGGUUUAAAGGGAGCGUAGGCUGGAGAUUAAGUGUGUUGUGAAAUGUAGACGCUCAACGUCUGACUUGCAGCGCAUACUGGUUUCCUUGAGUACGCACAACGUUGGCGGAAUUCGUCGUGUAGCGGUGAAAUGCUUAGAUAUGACGAAGAACUCCGAUUGCGAAGGCAGCUGACGGGAGCGCAACUGACGCUGAAGCUCGAAGGUGCGGGUAUCGAACAGGAUUAGAUACCCUGGUAGUCCGCACAGUAACGAUGGAUGCCCGCUGUUGGUACCUGGUAUCAGCGGCUAAGCGAAAGCAUUAAGCAUCCCACCUGGGGAGUACGCCGGCCGGU
rnacentral:rRNA from 1 species